UAAAAUACAAAUAAAAAAUUACAAUUUAUGGUAUGCAUAAAAAAAUAUUUGCAACCAGGUCCUUCCUAAUAAUAACUACUAAUAAGAAAAAAGAUAAUUACUAAAAUGACACUACAAGUGAGUAUAGGUGGCUGUUACUGUAUAGGAGCUGGAAAACAUAUCUUGGUGGUGAACAUGCGCUGAAGGAAUUAUCAAGUUGUAAAUAAAUCCGCUAUUUAAUUCUAUCAGCAA
rnacentral:lncRNA from 1 species